rnacentral:rRNA from 1 species
GACGAACGCUGGCGGCGUGCUUAACACAUGCAAGUCGAACGGAGAGGCCCUGCUUUUGUGGGGUGCUCGAGUGGCGAACGGGUGAGUAACACGUGAGUAACCUGCCCUUGACUUUGGGAUAACUUCAGGAAACUGGGGCUAAUACCGGAUAGGAGCUCCUGCUGCAUGGUGGGGGUUGGAAAGUUUCGGCGGUUGGGGAUGGACUCGCGGCUUAUCAGCUUGUUGGUGGGGUAGUGGCUUACCAAGGCUUUGACGGGUAGCCGGCCUGAGAGGGUGACCGGCCACAUUGGGACUGAGAUACGGCCCAGACUCCUACGGGAGGCAGCAGUGGGGAAUAUUGCACAAUGGGCGGAAGCCUGAUGCAGCAACGCCGCGUGCGGGAUGACGGCCUUCGGGUUAUAAACCGCUUUCGCCUGUGACGAAGCGUGAGUGACGGUAAUGGGUAAAGAAGCACCGGCUAACUACGUG